GGGCUCCUGACCAGCAACCAGGCCCUGCUGCAGCUUGAGGCGGCUCGGUGCCUGCAUGAGCUCUCUCACUCCGAGCAGUCCACCGUUGCUGAGGCCUGCCUGCCAGCCACUUCCUACCUCCUCACCUACCUCUCCGGUCACAGCUCAGACUUCAUAGAGCUGUGUCUGUAUACACUGGGUAACCUGAUCGUGGAGAGUGAGGCUGUGAGAAGGCAGCUCCUGCCACAGGGCAUUGUUCCAGCCUUGGCUGCCUGCAUCCAGUCCCCCCAUGUGGCUGUGCUGGAAGCUCUCGGAUAUGCCUUGUCCCAGCUUCUACAGGCUGAGGAAGCUCCAGAGAAGAUCAUUCCCCCUGCUUCUGCCAGCAGCUCCAUCUUGGCCUCCACUCUCCCUCAGCACAUGCUACAAAUGUUGCAACCUGGCCCAAAGCUGAACCCUGGGGUCGCUGUGGAGUUUGCCUGGUGCCUUCAUUACAUCAUCUGCAGCCAGGUCAGCAAUCCUCUGCUCAUUGGCCAUGGGGCUCUGUCUACUCUGGGGUUGCUGCUGUUGGACUUGGCUGGGGCUGUCCAGAGAACUGAGGAUGCAGGACUGGAGCUGCUGGCAUGCCCCGUGCUUCGAUGUCUAAGCAACCUGCUAACUGAGGCAGCAGUGGAGACUGUGGGAGGGCAAAUGCAGCUCAGAGAUGAGCGUGUUGUGGCAGCCUUAUUUAUCCUUCUGCAGUUCUUUUUCCAGAAACAGCCCAGUCUGCUCCCUGAGGGCCUCUGGCUCCUCAACAACCUCACUGCAAUCAGUCCUAGUUUCUGUACCUCCUUGCUCUCCCUGGAUCUGAUUGAGCCUCUCUUACAGCUGUUGCCAGUAUCUAAUGUGG
rnacentral:sRNA from 1 species